GAUGAACGCUAGCUACAGGCUUAACACAUGCAAGUCGAGGGCCCGGCGUACGGGUGAGUAACGCGUAUCCAACCUUCCCAUUACUGUGGGAUAACCUUCCGAAAGGCAGACUAAUACCGCAUAGUAAUGGAUGGUGAUGCGUCUGAUUAGCUUGUUGGCGGGGUAACGGCCCACCAAGGCGACGAUCAGUAGGGGUUCUGAGCGCAAGGUCCCCGACUUUUGAACUGAGACGCGGUCCAAACUCCUACUGGAGGCAGCAGUGAUGAAUAUUGGUCAAUGGACGGAAGUCUGAUCCAGCCAAGUAACGUGCAGGAUGACGGCCUAUGGGUUGUAAACUGCUUUUGUAUAGAGAUAGGUACCAUAUGAAUAGGGACCGGCUAAUUCCGUGCCAGCAGCCGCGGUAAUAC
rnacentral:rRNA from 1 species